rnacentral:lncRNA from 1 species
UAAAGUAAACCACAACUUCUGACUCCGAAAUGGGGUACCCUUUAGAAAAGGUCAGAAAAACGGUCCUAUCAUCCGCCAGUACCACCACUUCCUCGCUCUCCACCUCCUCCGUGACGGUCUUGUUUGUUUCUUCUUCAGCAGGAAGAGGUGUAGUAGGAGCAAUCUCCACCUCCACCGUGACGGUCUUGUUUGUUUCUUCUUCAGAAGGAAGAGGUGUAGUAGGAGCAGGAGGAGUCCUUUCUUGUUGAACACUUGAGGUUACUUGUUGAAACCUAAUUGGUGUUUGAUGUUGAACACUCUGCCUAGAAGGGAUUCCUUGUUGAACACUCGACCUAAUAGGACUUUGAUGUUGAACACUCUGCCUAGUAGGGGUUCUUUGUUGAACGCUCUGCCUAUUAGGGAUUCCUUGUGGAACACUC